rnacentral:rRNA from 1 species
AACGAACGCUGGCGGCAGGCCUAACACAUGCAAGUCGAACGCUGUAGCAAUACAGAGUGGCAGACGGGUGAGUAACGCGUGGGAACCUACCCUUUGGUUCGGAAUAGCUCAGGGAAACUUGAGGUAAUACCGGAUAAGCCCUUCGGGGGAAAGAUUUAUCGCCAAAGGAUGGGCCCGCGUCGGAUUAGCUAGUUGGUGGGGUAACGGCCUACCAAGGCGACGAUCCGUAGCUGGUCUGAGAGGAUGAUCAGCCACACUGGGACUGAGACACGGCCCAGACUCCUACGGGAGGCAGCAGUAGGGAAUAUUGGACAAUGGGGGCAACCCUGAUCCAGCCAUGCCGCGUGAGUGACGAAGGUCUUCGGAUUGUACAGCUCUUUUGGCGGGGAAGAUAAUGACGGUACCCGCAGAGUAAGCCCCGGCUAACUUCGUGCCAGCCGCCGCCGUAA